GCCCGCAUAGCUCAGUGGUAGAGCGCGUCACUAGUAUUUCUGAUCUUCUCGAUCAGAGAGAGAUCUGCGCCAUGACGAGGUCUUCAGUUCAACUCUGGAUGUGGGCA